UAUGAAUUAUGAUAUUCUUCAUGUCGAAAAUGGGUUUGAUUUUCGUUUUAUGGGUUUGACAUAGAAGAAAUUUAUAAGAUUCAAACCCAUAUUCAAUGACCAAUCUCUAAAUUUAUAAGAUUUAAGCAAAAUGGAAUAUUGGUUUUAAUGAUAGCAAUCUGAUGUAGUGAUCAUAUGCUAUUGAUCUCCCUUCUUGAAUUGUAAUUUUCUUGUAAUUUCUGAGUUUAUUUUAUUAUUGUAUCAAUCUUAUUUGCUAUAUUAUCUUCAGUAAUUUUCCUUUAGGAAAGGUUUGAUUAUUCUGUGCCUCUUCUAAGUUCCCAAGGGGAGCCACAGUAGUGGAGAACAUUGUAGAGAUGGACAUUGACAACAACUCCAAGUUCCAACUACACCACCAACACCAACCACCCAAGCAACACAAAUACUGUAGCAUGUCAAUGACUUUCAGAUACCAUAUUUAAGCACAAACUUGAAGGCCAUUCAGAUUAUUAAGAAGCCUGGAGGAUCACUAAAGGAUUCAUUUUUAGAUGAGGGGCAGAUGCAUGGUAUUGAACGUCUCGCAAUGAAGCUAAUACAGGAGUUGAAGUCCAUGAAGGACAUUGUAGAAGGAAAUCUGCCCUCUAAAGCGACUCCUACUACAUUGUU